GGACUACCGGGGUUUCUAAUCCUGUUCGCUCCCCACGCUUUCGUACCUCAGUGUCAGGAGUGGCCCAGCAAGCUGCCUUCGCCAUUGGUGUUCUUCGUAAUAUCUACGCAUUUCACUGCUACACUACGAGUUCCACUUGCCUCUGCCGUCCUCUAGGCGCCCAGUAUGAGAUGCAACGAUAUGGUUGAGCCACACGAUUUCACAUCUCACUUAAACACCCACCUACGCACGCUUUACGCCCAGUGAUUCCGGAUAACGCUUGGACCCUACGUAUUACCGCGGCUGCUGGCAC
rnacentral:rRNA from 1 species